CAUGAAGUUUUUUCUGUACGCUUGAAUCUUCUGCGACACAUAGUUCACUUUAUAUCAAAGAUAAUAUUUAUAAAUUCAAUCUAUAUUAUUACUUGAAACCUAUUAAUUUUUCAACUUCACUCAACUAUUGAUAUUCUAUUAAUUUUUAAUUAAAAAAAAUAUAUCGUUGCGUUCGUCCACUGCUUGAUACUUGUUGUUAAAUAAUUAUCAAAACAUCUAUCCGGAUUGUGUAUUAAAAAAAAAUGACGACUUAUCAAUAAUCUACGCUCUACGCACCGCAGUCGCUGAGACAAUGGAUGCUGAUGUGUGGACACGAAUCAUGGAACUUUGAAUAAAAAGUGAUUUAUCAGUUACAUGACAGCAGAAUGAUAUAGCCGUACCUAAGAUAUACUGUUUUUAAGAUAAAGAAGCUAAUUAUUAUAGUUACACUAUCAGUAACUAGCUAGUAUAAUUAUUAACUAAUUAAGCAAAUAUUG